rnacentral:sRNA from 1 species
GUCCCCAGAAGCAUGUCCCUCUGAAUGAAGUAUAUUAUGACGAUCUUUCCAGGCCCUUCCUCUUCCAGGCCCUUCUGAGAAGCCCCCUUCCUGAUUUCCCAAGGCCCAGGGCAGCCUGGGGCAUCUCGAAGGGGCGAGGCCUGAGGUGCACACCCACGGGGUCUCAGGGUCCUCCCCCAGCUCUGCCCAGCCCUGCCCCCACACGUGCCCUCCUUCUUGUCUCCUGCGCAGACAGCUGCAGCUUUGGCCUGCACGCCCGCGGUGUGGAGCUGAUGCGCUUCACCACGCCCGGCUUCCCUGACAGCCCCUACCCCGCUCAUGCCCGCUGCCAGUGGGCCCUGCGGGGGGAUGCCGACUCAGUGCUGAGCCUCACCUUCCGCAGCUUUGACCUUGCGUCCUGCGACGAGCGCGGCAGCGACCUGGUGAUGGUGUACAACACCCUGAGCCCCAUGGAGCCCCACGCCCUGGUGCAGUUGUGUGGCACCUACCCUCCCUCCUACAACCUGACCUUCCACUCCUCCCAGAACGUCCUGCUCGUCACACUGAUAACCAACACUAGGCGGCGGCAUCCCGGCUUUGAGGCCACCUUCUUCCAGCUGCCUAGGAUGCGCAGCUGUGGAGGCCGCUUACGUAAAGCCCAGGGGACAUUCAACAGCCCCUACUACCCAGGCCACUACCCACCCAACAUUGACUGCACAUGGAACAUUGAGGUGCCCAACAACCAGCAUGUGAAGGUGCGCUUCAAAUUCUUCUACCUGCUGGAGCCCGGCGUGCCUGCGGGCACCUGCCCCAAGGACUACGUGGAGAUCAACGGGGAGAAGUACUGCGGAGAGAGGUCCCAGUUCGUCGUCACCAGCAACA